ACACUCUGGCUUCUCUUCAUAACGCACAAGUCUUUCGCCUUUUACUAAAGACUUCCGUGGAGAGCAGCGUUAAAGAGUUGCACCUAUUUUUGGCAGGGUCUGCCGUCUGGCUG
ensembl:snRNA U5 U5 spliceosomal RNA